rnacentral:rRNA from 1 species
UACGUAGGGGGCAAGCGUUGUCCGGAAUCAUUGGGCGUAAAGCGCGUGUAGGCGGCUGAGUAAGUCUGCUCUGAAAGCCCGGGGCUCAACCCCGGGAGGCGGGUGGAUACUGCUCAGCUCGAGUCCGGAAGAGGAGUGUGGAAUUCCUGGUGUAGCGGUGAAAUGCGCAGAUAUCGGGAGGAACACCGGUGGCGAAGGCGGUUCUCUGGGCCUGACCUGACGCUGAGGAGCGAAAGCGUGGGGAGCGAACAGG